GGGAUAUUGCGCAAUGGGCGAAAGCCUGACGCAGCAACGCCGCGUGCCCGAGGAAGGCCUUCGGGUUGUAAAGGGCUUUUCUGGCUGAAGAGGAAGGACGGUAAGCCAGGAAUAAGUGUCGGCUAACUACGUGCCAGCAGCCGCGGUAAAACGUAGGACACGAGCGUUAUCCGGAGUUACUGGGCGUAAAGGGCAGGUAGGCGGACAGGCAAGUUGGGUGUGAAAUCUCCCUGGCUUAACCGGGAGGGUGCACUCGAAACUGUCUGACUGGAGGGCGGCAGAGGAGCGUGGAAUUCCGGGUGGAGUGGUGAAAUGCGUAGAGAUCCGGAGGAACACCAGAGGCGAAAGCGGGGCUCUGGGCCGCACCUGACGCUGAACUGCGAAAGCCAGGGUAGCGAACGGGAUUAGAAACCCCGGUAGUCCUGGCCGUAAACGAUGUCAACUGGGCGUUGGUAUGGAAGCAUAUCAGCGCCGGAGCGAACGCGCUAAGUUGACCGCCUGGGGAGUACGACCGCAAGGUUA
rnacentral:rRNA from 1 species